GAAAUGCGAUAAGUAAUGUGAAUUGCAGAAUUCCGUGAAUCAUCGAAUCUUUGAACGCACAUUGCGCCCUCUGGCAUUCCGGGGGGCAUGCCUGUCCGAGCGUCAUUACGCACCCUCAAGCCCGGCUUGUGUGAUGGGCCCCGGCGUCUCGUUCGCGAGACGGGCCCGAAAGGCAGCGGCGGCGUCGACCCGAUGAGCCGAGCGUAUGGGGACUUCUGUCACACGUUCGCGGUGCGGACCGGCGCCUGCUUGACUUUUCUGAUUAUCCAGGUUGACCUCGGAUCAGGUAGGGAUACCCGCUGAACUUAAGC
rnacentral:misc_RNA from 1 species